rnacentral:lncRNA from 1 species
AUCAGAGGCUGAUGGAAGAAACUGGAAGAAGAAAGAGGGAGCAUUCAAGACCAUUGGCAGCAGAAAAUGAAAAAAAGGAGGAAAUCUGAAGGAUGUCAGGAACCGAUCACCAGCAACCAAAGGAGAAUGGUGAGAAGGAGGAACCAGGGCUGGCGCUGACCACACCGAGUGGAUGGGAAGUGGGACAGGCUUGUGCCCUGUGGUGCCGAUGAUAAGUCAGCUUCCUACAUGAUACCACUGUGUUUCAGUGAGAGACGAAUUACACAAACAAAAUGUUCUUCACAGAUGGAUGAGAUGCCUGAGGAUGAUAUCUGGGUAGGACACCUGACUUCAAGGGCUAGUAAGAAGUUCAAAGAAGAAGGGGGCCAAAUGCAUCCAAGAAGGUGGCUGCCCUGGAUCAACAUGCACAGCUCUGUAAAAAUGCACACAAAAAUGGCACCCUGCUCCUCAUGGAGGGCGGACCCCAGAAGUGCCCAAUAUAUGAAUAGUAUAAAUCCCAACUCCAGGCAAAAUGGACCCCUUGACCUGUUUUAAUGGUCUAAUAAGCAGAUCUUCCUUGAGAAGGGCCUCUUGACGUGGAGAAAGGGAAAUCGUCUUGCACUGUUGGUGGGAAUGUGAACUGGUACAGCCACUCUGGAAAACUGCGUGGAGUUUAAAACUUUGAGUUAUUUUUAAUUCAAAGAGUUAAAAAUAAAGCUAACCUACAACCCA